UUUGCGAUCAGGCUGUUAAGAACAACCCUGUCUUAAUGAGUAGGCACCAGGGUUCCCAGGAAGUGAGACCUGACUGCGAGAUGGUCACAGGGAGCCGCAAGCAGUAAGACCGUGGUCAUUUGCCUUUCUGUUUCUACAGCUAGGAUAUUUGGACAUUAUUGUUACCUAAGAAUUAAUAACAUAUUCCAUAAGCCUUCAUGUCGAAGUUUCCUUUAUAAACAGUCAUAUGAAGGAAAUGACACAUACAGGACUUUGGGGCUCAUCAAGGGAUUCUUAAGGAUAUUGCAGAAGCAAAACGAGCCUUCGCUGAACAGGCUAUACCCUCCUCACCCCCAAACAGGAAGAAGAAAUGUCACUUGCCGCUCAUUUCCAGAAAGUAUCUUGCAUUCAUUAGCAUUCGGCCUUGAGGUUUCAGCUCUAACUGGGAGAGAGAAGAAGAAAGAACAUCGUCAGAAUGGGAAGCCAACCCUGGCUCUAGGACCUCUUAACUAGCUGCAUGACUUAUGGCAGAUUGCCACUAGAGAGGAGAUCUCGGCUCUUCUCCACGCAAGUUCAUCAUCACCGAGCCCGCUAUUAUCAGAACUGUGCAGCACCUGAGACAGUGGCUUGCCUUUGAUGGAAUGACUUGGCAGUUCAUUCAUUUUACUGGAGGUUCAAAAUUGAAAGAAGAAAGAAGAUUCAAAAAACGGAAUCUGUUGUCCUGCAGGGUGUUUACCUGAAGACCAUAUGAGCUUAUCCCCAGAUAUUAAUCACUGACAGAAGUGUCCUGGAUGCCAAGCCUUGCUCACUUGGGAAGAAGUAGGUCCUAGGGAAUAAAGAUAAGUCCUGCUCUGAGGGGUUUUCUUUCACUUACUAUGUGGGCUAUACAUCUAGGCAGAUCAGGGUAUACUCCAUGCAGUAUACUUUUUCUAUCACAAGCAUUUGUAAAAUGACUAAAGAAAAAUUUAAUUAGGUGAUUCUUGAAAGUUUUCUAUAUGCAUGUUUUAUAUAUAUAUAUAUUAUAUGCAUAUUUGAAUAGUUUUUAAAUUACUAAAUUACCUGACAUAUAUUUUAGAAAAAGUUCAUGCAUGGUACUUAUAUAUUCUAUACAUUAUUAUAAUUUUUCAAGUUCUAUAUGUAUAUAUACAACUUAUGGACAGUAUCGUACAGAAGACAGAAGAGCAAAGUGCCAUUUUAAGACUUAUUCCGAAUACCACGUAAUGUAACAUACACAGGAGGAAAAUAGAUAUAUCUGUAUCUAUGUAGAUAUUUACAUACAUGUGUAUUUGAAUAUAUGUAUGCAUGUAUGUUUAUAUACACACCUACACAUAUAUGAUAUAUGUCAAACCAUCAUACUAUGCCAUUAGUGGAAUAAAUAGAUUAAGACAUGA